rnacentral:rRNA from 1 species
CCCUUAGAUGUUCUGGGCCGCACGCGUGCUACACUGAGUGGAUCAGCGGGUCAGGUUGCGCGAAAGUGUUUCCUAAUCUUUAAAUCCGCUCGUGAUGGGGAUUGACGGUUGCAAUUUUCUGUCAUGAACGAGGAAUACCUUGUAAGCGCGGGUCAUCAUCCCGCGCUGAAUACGUCCCUGCCCUUUGUACACACCGCCCGUUGCUCCUACCGAUUGAGUGGUCCGGUGAGGCUUUGGGAUCUGAGCGGAAAGAGCGUUUCGCUGUUUCUGCUCGGAAAACUCAGUCGAACCUUAUCAUUUAGAGGAAGGAGAAGUCGUAACA